rnacentral:rRNA from 1 species
GUCAGAGACUGAACCAUCAAUCUUCUGAUUGAUAGAUAAGCAAGCAUCUUACUCUUCUCAGAAGCUAAGCAGGGUUGGGCCUGAGUAGUAUUUGGAUGAGAGGAUGCCUGGGAAUACCAGGUGCUGUAGGCU